rnacentral:rRNA from 1 species
AAUUAGGCAAAUUUCCCCCGUACGUUCGCAAUAAGGGGGGCCUCUGGUGGUGAGCUUAAUCGCAAAGCUGCUGGAGGCCGCAGAGAAAUGGCUCUUCCAACUGUUUAACAAAAACACAGGUCUCUGCUAAGUCGAAAGACGAAGUAUAGGGGCUGACGCCUGCCCAGUGCUGGAAGGUUAAGGGGAGAGGUUGGGCGCAAGCCGAAGCUUUGAGCCGAAGCCCCAGUGAACGGCGGCCGUAACUAUAACGGUCCUAAGGUAGCGAAACUCCUUGUCGGGUAAGAUCCGACCCGCACGAAUGGCGUAAUGAGAGGAGCACUGUCUCAACGAGGGACUCGGCGAACAUUGAAGGACGUGUGAAGAUACACGUGACCCGCAGCGGGACAAAAAGACCCCGUGAAGCUUUACUACAACUUGCCAUUGAGUUAGGGCUAAACCUGUGUAGUAUAGGUGGGAGGCUUUGAAGCUGGGACGCCAGUCUCGGUGGAGCCACCGUUGAAAUACCACCCUGGUUUAUUCUUGGCUCUAACCUGUCGCCGUUAUCCGGCAUGGGAACAGUGGCUGGUGGGUAGUUUGACUGGGGCGGUCGCCUCCGAAAGCGUAACAGAGGCGCCCAAAGGUUCCCUCAGGCUGAAUGGAAACCAGCCGUUGAGUGUAAAGGCACAAGGGAGCUUGACUGCAAGACCAACAAGUCGCGCAGGGACGAAAGUCGGGCUUAGUGAUCCCACGGUUCAGAGUGGAAUGGCCGUGGCUUACCGGAUAAAAGCUACUCCGGGGAUAACAGGGUAGUCUGGUCCAAGAGUUCAUAUCGACGACCAGGUUCGCCACCUCGAUGUCGGCUCAUCACAUCCUGGGGCUGGAUAAGGUCCCAAGGGUUGGGCUGUUCGCCCAUUAAAGUGGUACGUGAGCUGGGUUCAGACCGUCGUGAGACAGGUCGGUCUCUAUCCGCUGUGGGCGUAAGGGAUUUGAGAGAAGCUGCCCCUAGUACGAGAGGACCGGGGUGGACGGACCUCUACUGUGCCAGUUGUUCUGCCAAGAGCAUUGCUGGGUAGCUACGUCCGGCAGAGAUAACCGCUGAAAGCAUCUAAGUGGGAAACUCGUCUCAAGAUUAGAUCCCUCAUCCGUAUGGAGUAAGACCGCUAGAAGACGACUAGUUUGAUAGGCGGCAGGUGUAAGCGCAGUAAUGUGUUCAGCUUAGCCGUACUAAUGGUCGAGGGCUUACGUUG